rnacentral:rRNA from 1 species
AUGCAAGUCGAGCGAUGAGGCCCUCUUCGGAGGGUACAUCAGCGGCAGACGGGUGAGUACACGUAGGUGACCUGCCCUAAAGCUGGGGAUAACGGAUGGAAACAUACGCUAAUACCCAAUAGACCUGUGAGGUCGCACUCAUAGGUAAAGCUCCGGCGCUUUAGGAGGGGCCUGCGGCCCAUCAGCUAGUUGGUAGGGUAACGGCCUACCAAGGCGAAGACGGGUAGGGGGUGUGAGAGCACGAUCCCCCACAAUGGGACUGAGACACGGCCCAUACUUCUACGGGAGGCAGCAGCAGGGAAUAUUGCACAAUGGACGCAAGUCUGAUGCAGCGACGCCGCGUGGAUGAUGAAGGCCCUCGGGUCGUAAAAUCCUUUUCAGGGGGACGAGGAAGGACGGUACCCCUGGACUACGCGUCGGCUAUCUACGUGCCAUCAGCCGCGGUCCGACGUAGGACGCAUGCGUUAUCCGGAUUUACUGGGCGUCAAGCGUCUGUCGGCGGUUCGAUCAGUUGGGCGUGAAAGCUCCGGGCUUAGCCCGGAGAGGUCGUCCAAUACUG